rnacentral:rRNA from 2 species
GUUCUCCCUGACCCUUUAAGGGUCCUGAAGGAACGUUGAAGACGACGACGUUGAUAGGCCGGGUGUGUAAGCGCAGCGAUGCGUUGAGCUAACCGGUACUAAUGAACCGUGAGGCUUAACCUUACAACGCCGAAGGUGUUU